UACGUAGGGCGCGUGCGUUGUUCGGAAUUACUGGGCGUAAAGGGCUCGUAGGCGGCCAACUAAGUCGGACGUGAAAUCCCUCAGCUUAACUGGGGAACUGCGUCCGAUACUGGAUGGCUUGGAUUUGGGAGAGGGAUGCGGAAUUCCAGGUGUAGCGGUGAAAUGCGUAGAUAUCUGGAGGAACACCGGUGGCGAAGGCGGCAUCCUGGACCAAUAUUGACGCUGAGGAGCGAAAGCCAGGGGAGCAAACGGG
rnacentral:rRNA from 1 species